UACCAGCACCCCGAGUGGUCGGGGCGAUUAUUGGGCCUAAAGCAUCCGUAGCCGGUUCUACGAGUCUUCCGUUAAAUCCAACUGCUUAACAGGUGGGCUGCGGAAGAUACUAUAGAGCUAGGAGGCGGGAGAGGCAAGCGGUACUCGAUGGGUAGGGGUAAAAUCCGUUGAUCCAUUGAAGACCACCAGUGGCGAAGGCGGCUUGCCAGAACGCGCUCGACGGUGAGGGAUGAAAGCUGGGGGAGCAAACCGG
rnacentral:rRNA from 1 species